rnacentral:rRNA from 1 species
AGGGGCGCUACCAUGCAAGUCGAGCGAGACCUUCGGGUCUAGCGGCGGACGGGUUAGUAACGCGUGGGAAUGUACCCUUCACUGCGGAAUAGCCACUGGAAACGGUGAGUAAUACCGCAUACGCCCUUCGGGGGAAAGAUUUAUCGGUGAAGGAUCAGCCCGCGUCUGAUUAGAUAGUUGGUGGGGUAACGGCCUACCAAGUCGACGAUCAGUAGCUGGUUUUAGAGGAUGAUCAGCAACACUGGGACUGAGACACGGCCCAGACUCCUACGGGAGGCAGCAGUGGGGAAUCUUAGACAAUGGGCGCAAGCCUGAUCUAGCCAUGCCGCGUGUGUGAUGAAGGCCCUAGGGUCGUAAAGCACUUUCGCCAGGGAUGAUAAUGACAGUACCUGGUAAAGAAACCCCGGCUAACUCCGUGCCAGCAGCCGCGGUAAUACGGAGGGGGUUAGCGUUGUUCGGAAUUACUGGGCGUAAAGCGCACGUAGGCGGACUAUUAAGUCAGGGGUGAAAUCCCGGGGCUCAACCCCGGAACUGCCCUUGAUACUGGUAGUCUUGAGUUCGAGAGAGGUGAGUGGAAUUCCGAGUGUAGAGGUGAAAUUCGUAGAUAUUCGGAGGAACACCAGUGGCGAAGGCGGCUCACUGGCUCGAUACUGACGCUGAGGUGCGAAAGUGUGGGGAGCAAACAGGAUUAGAUACCCUGGUAGU